GANAACGCUGGCGGCGUGCCUAACACAUGCAAGUCGAACGGGGUGAAGCCCUUCGGGGACUUCACUUAGUGGCGAACGGGUGAGUAACGCGUGAGGAACCUGCCUUUCAGUGGGGGACAACAGUUGGAAACGACUGCUAAUACCGCAUAACACUUUUUGGGGACAUCCCUGAAAAGUCAAAGCUUUAUGUGCUGAAAGAUGGCCUCGCGUCUGAUUAGCUGGUUGGCGGGGGUAAACGGCCCACCAAGGCGACGAUCAGUAGCCGGUCUGAGAGGAUGAACGGCCACAUUGGGACUGAGAUACGGCCCAGACUCCUACGGGAGGCAGCAGUGGGGAAUAUUGGGCAAUGGGGGAAACCCUGACCCAGCAACGCCGCGUGAAGGAAGAAGGCCCUCGGGUUGUAAACUUCUUUUGUCAGGGACGAGUAGAAGACGGUACCUGACGAAUAAGCCACGGCUAACUACGUG
rnacentral:rRNA from 1 species